rnacentral:miRNA from 1 species
UGGACAAGAUAACAGGUUGAUC